UACGUAGGGUGCGAGCGUUGUCCGGAAUUAUUGGGCGUAAAGGGCUCGUAGGCGGUUUGUCGCGUCGGGAGUGAAAACCUCGGGCUUAACUCGGGGCUUGCUUUCGAUACGGGCAGACUAGAGGUAUGCAGGGGAGAACGGAAUUCCUGGUGUAGCGGUGAAAUGACGCAGAUAUCAGGAGGAACACCGGUGGCGAAGGCGGUUCUCUGGGCAGUAACUGACGCUGAGGAGCGAAAGCGUGGGGAGCGAACAGG
rnacentral:rRNA from 1 species